rnacentral:rRNA from 1 species
CCUACGGGAGGCAGCAGUGAGGAAUAUUGGUCAAUGGCCGGGAGGCUGAACCAGCCAAGUCGCGUGAGGGAAGACGGCCCUACGGGCUGUAAACCUCUUUUGUCAGGGAGCAAGGUGCAGGUCGGGACCUGCUGUGAGAGUACCUGAAGAAAAAGCAUCGGCUAACUCCGUUCCAUCAGCGGCGGUAAUACGGAGGAUGCGAGCUAUACCCGGAUUUAUGGGGUUUAAAGUGUGCGCAGCCGUAGGCACAACUUAGGGGUAAAACCGCGGGGCUCACCCCCGCGCGGCCGUUGAAACUGUGUGCCUUGAGUGCACGAAGGGUAGGCGGAAUGCGUGGUGUAGCGGUGAAAUGCAUAGAUAUCACGCAGAACUCCGAUCGCGAAGGCAGCCUACCGGCGCGCAACUGACGCUCAUGCACGAAAGCGUGGGUAUCGAACAGGAUUAGAUACCCUAGUAGUC